AGAGUUUGAUCCUGGCUCAGAUUGAACGCUGGUGGCAUGCUUAACACAUGCAAGUCGAACGGUAACAGGUCUUCAGAUGCUGACGAGUGGCGGACGGGUGAGUAACGCGUAGGAAUCUGCCCAUCUGUGGGGGAUACCAGUUGGAAACGACUGUUAAUACCGUAUAAUAUCUGCGGAUUAAAGGUGGCCUUUGCGCCGCCGCAGAUGGAUGAGCCUGCGUUGGAUUAGCUAGUUGGUGGGGUAAGGGCCUACCAAGGCUACGAUCCAUAGCUGAUUUGAGAGGAUGAUCAGCCACAUUGGGACUGAGACACGGCCCAAACUCCUACGGGAGGCAGCAGUGGGGAAUAUUGGACAAUGGGGGAAACCCUGAUCCAGCAAUGCCAUGUGUGUGAAGAAGGCUCUAGGGUUGUAAAGCACUUUAGUUGGGGAGGAAAGCCUGUGAGUUAAUAGCUUGCAGGAAGGACGUUGCCCAAAGAAUAAGGACCGGCUAACUCCGUGCCAGCAGCCGCGGUAAUACGGGGGGUCCGAGCGUUAAUCGGAAUUACUGGGCGUAAAGGGUCUGUAGGUGGUUUGUUAAGUCAGAUGUGAAAGCCCAGGGCUCAACCUUGGAACUGCAUUUGAUACUGACAAACUAGAGUAUGGUAGAGGAAUAGGGAACUUCUGGUGUAGCGGUGAAAUGCGUAGAGAUCAGAAGGAACACCAAUGGCGAAGGCAACAUUCUGGACCAAUACUGACACUGAGGGACGAAAGCGUGGGGAUCAAACAGGAUUAGAUACCCUGGUAGUCCACGCUGUAAACGAUGAGUACUAGCUGUUGGAUUCGGUGUAAAGGAUCUAGUGGCGCAGCUAACGCGUUAAGUACUCCGCCUGGGGACUACGGCCGCAAGGCUAAAACUCAAAGGAAUUGACGGGGACCCGCACAAGCGGUGGAGCAUGUGGUUUAAUUCGAUGCAACGCGAAGAACCUUACCUGGUCUUGACAUCCUGCGAACUUUCUAGAGAUAGAUUGGUGCCUUCGGGAACGCAGUGACAGGUGCUGCACGGCUGUCGUCAGCUCGUGUUGUGAAAUGUUGGGUUAAGUCCCGCAACGAGCGCAACCCCUAUUGAUAGUUACCAUCAUUAAGUUGGGUACUCUAUUGAGACUGCCGCUGACAAGGCGGAGGAAGGUGGGGACGACGUCAAGUCAUCAUGGCCCUUACGACCAGGGCUACACACGUGCUACAAUGGGUAUUACAGAGGGCUGCGAAGGUGCGAGCUGGAGCGAAACUCAGAAAGGUACUCUUAGUCCGGAUUGCAGUCUGCAACUCGACUGCAUGAAGUCGGAAUCGCUAGUAAUCGCAGGUCAGAAUACUGCGGUGAAUACGUUCCCGGGUCUUGUACACACCGCCCGUCACACCAUGGGAGUGGGUUGCUCCAGAAGUAGAUAGCUUAACGAAUGGGCGUUUACCACGGAGUGAUUCAUAACUGGGGUGAAGUCGUAACAAGGUAGCCGUAGGGGAACCUGCGGCUGGAUCACCUCCUU
rnacentral:rRNA from 1 species